AGUACAAGAGCAUCGUUCGGGGAACACGAGCGCGACCGGAUGUUGACGGUCGGCCGGUAUUACUCCCCGGGCAGCACGUCAAAACAUGAUGCCAGCAAGAAACGCGCUGGAUCAGUUGUAAGUGAGCCGUUUUGCAGUAGAAAGCAUUAAGGCUCGGUGCCGUGUGGCGUUCCGUGUGUGUUCCGAUGUGAUCCGUUCCGAGCACGAUACGCGGUGGGUGGAUGCGUUCCCAGCGUUGGGGAUGCAUCCGCUGGUGAAUUAUUUGUUUGUUUUUAAGUUUCUUGUGUAUUUUUAAUCUGGAAAGUGUUCAUUUUAUAAUUAUAGUCAUCGAAAGUGUUCAAGCAUUUCAAGCCGGCUUGAAAACCGCUCCUGCAAACAUCAAGCAUCGAACUUGGACAUCAAGUCAGCUGACUUCAAUGCUGGGUGGUUCCAGGAUAUUUGCUGUGAAUCGCAUUCCAUGGCGCUGGCUCACGCGAGUAGCAUCAGCAUGGAAGCGAGCAUCCAGACGCAAGACAUCGGGCCGCAUCAAGGAAGGUUGAAGGACUCGGGGACUCGGCCGGCGUAUGCAGGCUAGAAGCACCCGAACUUUGGCUGAUCCCAGGACGAGAUGAAGCUGUCAGUAUUAAUCAGCCAGCCGAGGCCGGCGCUAACCGUAAAAUAUCUUCUGCAGGAGGGCGCAGUGCCCUGCUUCCGUAGGUAGGAAAGCCGGUGGAAAUAUCUCGCCCAUUUGUUAGUCGCAUCUUUCAGGCACCUUAGUGUGUAGGACGCUGUACUGUAAUGCUGCUGGAGCAAACAAAUUCGGAAAGCCAGUAUCCACUGUAAAUUUGCAACAAGAAAAAAAAACCGUUUCACAACACAACGAACUUACCGCGGGACAUCCGUCCGGUGGACGGAACUUAGGAAUAGGUUCCGGACGCUCCCCCUCCCUAGGAUGUACCGUGGGCUUAGAGCCGUGCUAGUAGUAGUAAGAACCCAUUAUUCCAUCUUUCUAUCGCUUUCGGUGUGCAUGCUCAACGGAAUACUGUAGCGUAAGGUAAAUAAAUGUCUAAUUAUGCCAAAUGAAGGAUGAGUCCUUUACUUGCUUUAUGAA